UUAUGGACUUGAUCGAAUUGAGCCUUGGUAUGGAGGCCUACCAAGUGAUGGCUUCCAAAUCCAGGGAGCCCUGGGAUAUUUUGAAUGGGCAAUCUUGAGCUAAAUAUGGUUCAUGGAGACAAUACUUUCUUCUCCUAAGAUAGGAAGGGGAUAAGUGUUGAGACUCAAUGGAAGCUAUUCUAAUGAAUGAAUCUCAUUUGGUCCAACAUUGUUUUAAUAGAAUGCUCUAUUUAUACCUCGAAAGUGGGCACGUUAUAUAAUAUCACACAAAACUUGCAAUCAGAAUUUGAAUCGUUCCAAGAAUUUUAUUCUUAAGAUAGAUGCCAAAUUCGAGUUGGAGUAUUGAUUUGACAUAAAGUAAUAUGAUUAUGAAUUUAUCUACUCUAAAUAGAGAAUUGAGUCAGUCUUUGGAAUAAAUAGUUGGACGAGAAUAAACAUAGAGUCCAAUUCUACAUGUCAAUUUCAA
rnacentral:ncRNA from 1 species